CUGACAGUUUGGCUUCCCUGUUCCAGGUGGCAAAGCCUGUGGGGUAUUCACCUACCUGCUGCAUGAAGGCAGCAUGGAGGGACUGUGGUGGAUUAUCUGCAAAGAUGGCCCAAAUUCUCUCAUCCCUGCAGGUACAUACAAGGAAAUUGAGGUGUACGGAAUGCUUAUUUGGUUGACUCAGUAUCAUCCUAAAUGUAUGAACUAAUGUUUAGGAGUUUGCAGUUCACCCGCAAACCUCAGCGAUCCAAGCUCCCCUGGAUGACCAUCACUCACCUAGAAAAGAACAAUAACAGGACCUGUUUUGCUAAUCCAGGACUGUUCUCCAGCACUAACUCUAAAUAAUCCCUUCUGUUAGAGUCCACUUUCUGGAACCUGUUGCCUCCGUUUUCAACGUUUCCCAAACUUGGUCCGUUGUGUGAGUUGGCUGUUAAAAGUUCCAGGGAGAGGACAUCUUAUUCUUAUUGGAUCACGCACAGUGCCUGAAGCAUUCUGUUGCAUGUAGAAAUCAGUAAAUUGCAGAUGUAAGAUUCAAAACGAGACUUCACAUCUACCGACUUCAGUGAUCCUGAAAUUUGUCCACAGAGAGCAUUUAACAUAACUGUCUUCAUCAUCUCCUUCUCUAAUUAAAAACUAUGGAAAAUACAGGGAGGUGUGGUGUACCCAUUAUCACAAGCAGAUGGAAUCCCUAUAGAGUCAGAUCUCAUCUACAUAUCACCUAUUA
rnacentral:lncRNA from 1 species